GAUGAAGAACGUAGCGAAAUGCGAUAAGUAAUGUGAAUUGCAGAAUUCAGUGAAUCAUCGAAUCUUUGAACGCACCUUGCGCCCUUUGGCUAUUCCGAAGGGCAUGCCUGUUUGAGUAUCAUGAACACCUCAACUCUCAUGGCUUGCCAUGAUGAGCUUGGACUUUUGGGGGUCUUGCUGGCCUGUGGUCAGCUCCUCUCAAAUGAAUUAGCCUGCCAGUGUUUGGUGGCAUCACAGGUGUGAUAACUAUCUACGCUUGUGGUUUUCCACCAGGUAACCUUCAGUGAUGAAGGUUCGCUGGGGCUCAUAAACGUCUCUCCUCAGUGAGGACAGCUCUUUGAACGUUUGAUCUCAAAUCAGGUAGGACUACCCGCUGAACUUAAGCAUACAAUAAGCGGAGGA
rnacentral:misc_RNA from 1 species